UACGUAGGUGGCAAGCGUUGUCCGGAAUUACUGGGUGUAAAGCGCGUGUAGGCGGGAGGCCAAGUCUGCUGUGAAAUCGCCCGGCUCAACUGGGCGGGGUCGGUGGAAACUGGUCACCUGGAGGACGGUAGAGGCGAGUGGAAUUCCCGGUGUAGUGGUGAAGUGCGUAGAGAUCGGGAGGAACACCAGUGGCGAAGGCGGCUCACUGGUCCGGUACUGACGCUGAGGUGCGAAAGCGUGGGGAGCAAACAGG
rnacentral:rRNA from 1 species